AACCAGCAGCAGCAGCCUCCUCCUCACUACAGCCGACGCGACUCACGGCGGCGUCGUCUCAUGCCUUCGCCCGCCGUCCGCCCGUUGGUCUCGUCGCGCAGGUGGAAGAUGCUGGAGAGCGGGAGGAAGGUGUUCAAGGAGGGUCUGCUGGAGAAGCGCAGCGACGGGCUGCUGCAGCUGUGGAAGAAGAAGCACUGCGUCCUGACCGAGGACGGCGUGCUGCUGCUGCCGCCCAAGCAGCACGACCACCCGCAGCACCAGCAGCCGCACCGCGGCGGCGGGGACGGGGACGCGGGCAGAGUCAAGGAGCUGCACUUCGCCAACAUGAAGACGGUGGACUGCGUGGAGCGCAAGGGCAAGUACGUCUACUUCACGGCGGUCAUGGCGGAGGGCAAGGAGGUCGACUUCAGGUGCCCGCAGGACGAGGGCUGGAACGCGGAGAUCACCCUGCAGAUGGUCCAGUACAAGAACCGGCAGGCGAUCCUCGCCGUCAAGUCCACCCGGCAGAAGCAGCAGCUGCUCGUCGCGCAGAUGCCCGGCCAGAAGACGACCCGCAGCGCGCCGAACGUUGCGUGACCUGCGGCGCGUCCCGCGGACACUGGCGCACCGUUAGCGGUAAGACUGCUUAAGAGCCCAGGGCCGGAGACCACCUGGGGGGACCCCCCCCCCCCCCCCAGCGAAUUAAGGACGCCUUUUUCGAUUUUAUUUUUUUUUAAUGCCCUGGAUGUGCGUACCAUGAGUUGAGGACAAAUGGUUUCUUCAUAGGUUACAUUCCUCCCUCACAGAUCAAAGCCCGGGCGAACGUUCUUCCAGAAGAGGGACAGAAUCGCACCAGAUGUGGAUGUUAUUUUGGCGUAAAGAAAAGUUUGCGAGCCCCUGCUGUAGACCUGCUCAUUCGCCCUCCUCGUGGAGGCGAAAACCACCGCAGGGAAAUGGGGUGGAUUUACAACCUCCAGACAGGUUAAUUGGACGCUCAGCUGGAGGAUGAAUAUUGACCCGGGCUGCAUCUCCCCCUGCCGCUUCAACCAUUGAGCGCCAUUCUCCAGGAGAACCCCUCUUCCAUGUAGUGGUUUCCAAAGAGUGUCCCGUCACUUAUCAACUCAGAGACUUAUUUCACAAAAGACUGAUGGACAGAAAGUAUGUGAGAAAACAACUGUAUUCUACCGUGCAAUGGGUUUAUCCCUUAUUUAUUGGUUGUGUAUAUAUAUAUCUUUUCUACUACUACAAAAAAAAUCGUUAUGUUGUUGAUGAAUGUUCAGUGUGGUUGUGUGCUGGAGUGGAACAGAAAAUGCCCGCUCAGAGGUUCAAAGCCUCCAAGUCACUCAUAAAUCCACUGAGAAUAACAUUUAAUUCAUAGUCAUCUUUUACUAGUCACUAGAUGAAUGGAAAAAUGUGUCAUAGUCCAAUGUUUUAAUUUUUCAACUGAACCAAAGAAUCAUUUCAUUGUCUCUCUUGUGCAGUGUUACACCUCAGAUUCUACCAUACUGAAAUACUAUAUCGUAUAUGAUGAGAAAACCUGCUCCACCUAUACAUAAUUUAUGUUAAGCGCUUGAUUUAUUGAUAACUUAAGUGCAUCUUAGUGUUUUCAUUGUGUACACACGUCAUUUUCCAACAUUUAAUUCGGCUGCAUUCAUAGAUACAAAACCUAUGUGUUGCUUUAUCAGUCUUAAAGCUGCGUGAUAUACCGCACUAUGCCCUCAGUUUGCUUCCAGUGGUUGCAGAGGAGAGUUUAGCAGCAGUGGGUAAGUAACAUGCACAGUGGAGUUUUUGUUAUAUUGACAGUUUUCAGGAGUUGGUUGAUCUCAAGUCACUUUUACUGGUUGCGUUGAAUCCUAGCGGACGGAGAAUAAGCCGUUUUUCUGGAUCGGUAACAUCAGACUGAAUUGAACUACAAAGAAUAAACACUAAAAGAAACCAAUACCUUUCAAGAUUGACAACCGAAAACCUUGACAUUUGCGUAGAGUUCAGGCUUCUUUGCACCAUCUAUUUUCGCGUCACUCCUCUGUGUAUUGUUCAGCUAUCUACAGCAGGGUACAACUUGCCAUUUCAUGAAAGUGUGUGGAUAUAAUUCGACACAGCCCUUUCGUGUGUGACGGGACCUUUGGUUGAGCGGGAUGUGCCACGUGACUUCGCCCCGUUUGUUCCAUAAAGUUUUCUCACGAGGGCAUAUAGCCUUGUGAACAUUUAGUUGGGCAUAAAUCACAUUGGGGCCAUUCUUUGCCGGGCCAACUGACUUCCCGCUGACUCCCUGCACACAAACACAAUUCUCUGCGAUACAGCCCCUUCCUGAGUUUUGAAUUUAACUGGACCCCAAAGGCAUACAUUGUGAUAACGCAGACAGACGUUUCAAGCGUUUUUUGUCACACUGCAGCGAGAAAGUAUUACCUGUAGUUUGCUGUUUUUGUGGACCUGGUGGAACCACAAGUCCGUCUCUACCGCUUGAGAAGUUCUUGUCCGUUCUCUGUUGUAUUAGAGUAGUAGUAGAAAACAACGGCUUAGGUCGGCCAAUAUUUUUUUUUGUCCCUUGGCUACGAAAUGUGAAGGGCUGGAGAGUACAAAAUAAAUCUUUUUAGCUAGUUACCUACUGGCUGAUUGUCUAAUAUCACAAUACAGAGGACUGUGUAUUUUGACUUGAAUCACUACUAGCUAAAUUAAGAUAAAACAGACUCUGGCUAAAUCUACAGAUUUUUUAACAGCAGCCAGGCAGAUUUUUGUAAUCUUGUAGAUGCUUUGCCACUGAGAAAAUGUUCAUAAAACGAUCUUGUCUAAAUCUGCAGGUUAUAUAUUUUAAAGCAUGAGGUGAUUUUCAUGACAAAAUACCAGACUAAAUAGAUAAUAUGGCUGUUACGGGGUGGCAUUUGGUGGGAUGUGACGGGUCACAGUACUGUGCGCGAUGGCGGGAUUUCUUGCCGUCAGGAAACGUUCAACUUCACAGUGGCUUGCGUUGCUUCCUGUUUGCCGGAGGUGUUUCCCCACUGCUUUCCCCUCCUGCCACUGCAUCACCGCCAAACCGACACAUGCCUCUCUGUCGCUGUCAUCUCACACACAGGGUAAUUGCUGCGCCCUGUAACGCAGCCAACCGAUGUGAUGCUUCUCUGACAUACCUCCCUGCUGCCGUCAUUGCACACAGUUAUAGCUGCGCCCUUUGUAGCCACUGUCCGAUUUCUUAUUUUCGACGUGAGAUCUAUUUUCAUACCUUGAAAAGUUACGGUACAUUCCAUAAACCCCCCCCCCCCAACAAAAAACAACAACAACAAAACAAACAAACAUGGUGUCUUGUGUGGUUUCUCUCCGUCUUCUCACGCUGCUGCAGAUGAGCGUCAGAGCCCUGCGGUUCAGCGGGGUCAUUUGAAUGACCCGUUUAACAAGCUGCUGCUCUGACGCUGUCCAGCCUUUCAUGCUUUAAAACUGCUGAACCUCUCACCCCGUGUUUCCUGGGCUAAAAGUAGAGGGCCGUGUGGAGAAUUGGGUUUCACCGCCAGUUGUCGCCGCCCAGAUAAACUGUCAGUAUGUAAUGUCAAAAGCACAAGUGGCCCUGGCCACCCCCCUGUCUAAAGCCAAGCAAAUUCAAUUAAACGUGGGGCGCACGGGGGCAUCCUUUUUGACACAUGGAGCGUCCGCUGCAUCCUUGAAUAACACUGUUUUUUUUAGAGAGCCUUUCUCUCUAAAUAUUGAAGUCUAAGCCACAGAGUCAACUGCUAUCCCUGCCUUCCCUGCUUUUACUUCAGGGACAUCAAAUAGUCACACAAGUGUAAUUUGGAUGCAUAAUGGAAAUACCUUUUCAUUUCAGACAUGUAGCAAAUGUACUAGAGUAAAAACCAAAAAUGCUUUUAGUCCUUGAACACCACCAUUACAAGCAAGACUAUUCAGAGAAUUUUGCUGACACACGUGGCAGCCACAUGAUACCAGUGAAUGUUAAGGCAAAGUGUCAUAGUGCACGCGGAGAAAAAGUCAUACCAUUAUCAAGCUGGCUGUACUGCUUUGUAUGUUUAAGGCUCGCAGACAUCAGCCACCGCAAGCUGCUGGUAAUAUCUGACCCAAGUGAGGUUGUAGCAGCAAAACCUCUGGGGAUACUGAGUUGAACAAGGGUUUAUUGCUCAGUUCAAUUUUCACUUUUGACAGGGCUGUUUGGUUCCUGUGUCUUAGUUUCGUUCUCCUGGUAGAAAUACUUUGAUAUGUUUCCAGGUCAAUGAAUACUAUGGAAGAGUAUUGGGGCCAGGCAUAGGGGAAAAAAAUAUUAUCUAUUAUUAAUUCAAAUUUAUUUAACAUUUCGAGAAUAAAGUCAAAAUGUCGAGAUACCCUAUACGUCCGUGUUGUGGUACCAGGUCAGCUAACUGUCACACAUCCACGUUGACUAAAGUUAGCAAAGCUACGCUGGCUUCGGGAACUGCACGCCUCUGUAAAAUGAAUUCACGGUUGUUUGCAAUUGAACGUUAUCCUGUCAGGACAGACGUUGACGUUCGUGUGCAAAACACCCGUUGUCCCGCAUCGUUUCUUCCAGAUUCAGCCAUGAAUAAUAAUAUCGCAACUUUACAACUUGGUUAGCGGCUAGCGUUAGCGAGCAAAACUGGCUAGCAAAACAUCAACAUCCGGUUGUUUGGUGCGGCUGAAAAGUGCUCCCAUGUUUCACAAUUUUUGGCUUCAUUCUCGAUAUAAUAUUUCAACUUUAUUCUCGACAUUUCGACUUUAUUCUGGAAGUAAAUCAACUUUAUUCUCGAAAUGUAAGAGUAAAAAAAAAUAAAUCUUCCUCCUCUCAUUUUUUCCCUUAUGCUUGGCCCCAAUAGUAUUACACUUACUUAAAAUGGAGCGCUUCUGUAAAGAAGUUUCCAGCGGAGCGACACAGCUGCCUUUAUGAUCAGAUAAAACAACCCUAACUAAGUGAAUUUAACUCUAAGCCUUCCAGCUAUGUUUCUAUUGUCUGUAUACGUUGCACAAAACAAUUAGGGUCUAAUGAGACUUUUUAAUUGAACUAUCACAGUAAAGUGUUUCUGCGCCUCCUCCUGCCCCGGCACUUCAUCUCUGUGUGGUAGCUUUGUGUGAGAUCAGUGAGGACAUGGUGAAGUUACAGUCUUUCCCCUUGUCGAUAACCCCUCGACCACGGCGGCAUGUCACUUUGAAGCAGCCGCAGCAGCAGCUGCCCCUUCAACUAUUGCACAAGAAGCCUCCUUAGCUCCUUGCUGGCAUGUCGCUUGACCGCCAACUUAUUCCUCGCCGUCACAGUCCCCCCUUUGAUCUGCGGGGGGGACAGAAACGUGUGACAAGGCGUUAAGUGUGGCCCUAAGAGACCUAGGUGGAGCUCCUGAACAGACUUGUGUGGGGCUGAAUCCUCGCUGCAUGCCUUGUUUUUUAAGGAAGAAAGAAAAGGAAGUGUUUUUAAUCUUGUAAAAUAAAAAGGAGGAACAUUCAAUAUUUGAA